rnacentral:rRNA from 1 species
UAGUGGAGCGAUUUGUCUGCUUAAUUGCGAUAACGAACGAGAUCCGAGCCCACUUAUAAUAGUGAGCAGCAUUAGUUUUCCACUGGCCCUUGUGUCUGUUUACGCGCGCACAAGCGGUUUUAGCGGAUACAAGUCCGCUUCUUAGAGGCACAAUAUGCGACAUAAUAUCAUAUAGAAGUUGGACCAUAACA